rnacentral:lncRNA from 1 species
AAGGGAUACAUCUCCUACUUGUCGUAGCUGACUGGGAUGCAGAAAGCAAUCUGCCUGGUGCUGAGCACUGUACUCCGUACCAAUGCCUGGGAGAGCCAAGAGCAUCUCAGGAAGGAGAUUCUAAAUUGAAGAUAUUUCUACUGAGUACCCUGCUGGCCAAAAAUCCCAGUAGGAAGAGCGAGCGGUUCACGGAAAAACCCAGCCCAGUAUCAGAAAGCUGAAGCACUGGGGGAUAGCAUUUCUCUGUCAUCUAAAGAGAAAGUAUACGCAGCCUCAAAAAAAAAAAAAAUGUAUCAUUGGCCUUUUUAACUCUGCCUGCCUCACGUGACAAGUCCUAACCUUUAACCUUACCCAAGCCUGA